ACCUAUCAGCUUUCGACGGUAUGGUAUUGGCUUACCGUGGCAGUGACGGUUAACGGGGGAUUAGGGUUCGAUUCCGGAGAGGGAGCCUGAGAAACGGCUACCACAUCUAAGGAAGGCAGCAGGCGCGCAAAUUACCCAAUUCUAACAGCAUAAGAGAGGUAGUGACAAGAAAUAACAAUACAAGGUAAUUAAAUUGCUUUGUAAUUGGAAUGAUAGAAAUUUAAACACUUUUUAAAGUAUCAAUUGGAGGGCAAGUCUGGUGCCAGCAGCCGCGGUAAUUCCAGCUCCAAUAGCGUAUAUUAAAAUUGUUGCAGUUAAAAAGCUCGUAGUUGAAUUUCUGUUAAAAAUAACCGGUCUGCUUUUAUUAAAAGUGGUAUCUUGGUGUGUUUUUAGCAAUAAUGUCCUUUGAAAUGUUUUUUACUUUAUUGUAAUAAGUCAUUAUUUUGAGGAUUUUUACUUUGAGAAAAUUAGAGUGUUUCUAGCAGGCUUACGCUUUUGAAUACUGCAGCAUGGAAUAAUAAGAUAGGAUUUUAGUUCUACAUUAUUGGUUUUAAGAACUAAAUUAAUGAUUGAUAGGGAUAGUUGGGGGCAUUUGUAUUUAACUGUCAGAGGU
rnacentral:rRNA from 1 species